UACGUAGGGUGCAAGCGUUGUCCGGAAUUAUUGGGCGUAAAGAGCUCGUAGGCGGUUUGUCGCGUCUGCUGUGAAAACUCGGGGCUUAACCCCGGGCCUGCAGUGGGUACGGGCAGACUAGAGUGCGGUAGGGGAGACUGGAAUUCCUGGUGUAGCGGUGAAAUGCGCAGAUAUCAGGAAGAACACCCGUGGCUAAGGCGGUUCUCUAGUACGGUACUGACGCUGAGACGCGAAAGCGUGGGGAGCGAACAGG
rnacentral:rRNA from 1 species